rnacentral:rRNA from 1 species
CGGGAGAAGGGGUGCUCUAUUAGGGUGCAAGCCCGAGAGAGCCGCAGUGAAUAGGCCCAGGCGACUGUUUAGCAAAAACACAGGUCUCUGCAAAACCGUAAGGUGACGUAUAGGGGCUGACGCCUGCCCGGUGCUGGAAGGUUAAGAGGAGUGCUUAGCUUCGGCGAAGGUACGAAUUGAAGCCCCAGUAAACGGCGGCCGUAACUAUAACGGUCCUAAGGUAGCGAAAUUCCUUGUCGGGUAAGUUCCGACCCGCACGAAAGGCGCAACGAUCUGGGCACUGUCUCAACGAGAGACUCGGUGAAAUUAUAGUACCUGUGAAGAUGCAGGUUACCCGCGACAGGACGGAAAGACCCCGUGGAGCUUUACUGCAACCUGAUAUGGAAUGUUUGUACCGCUUGUACAGGAUAGGUAGGAGCCGAAGAGACGUGUGCGCUAGCAUACGAGGAGGCAAUGGUGGGAUACUACCCUGGCUGUAUGACCAUUCUAACCCGCCACGC